UGUACUAGAAACUCAAUCCUGUCAUGUGCAAAUCGAACAUCUUUGGUUGCUUUAUAUUCGUUAAUGAGUAAAAGAUCUUUAGUAGUUUGGUGGAGAAUAAACAAGAAGUCAAGAAACUAUUUUGAUCUAAGAGUUCGGUUGUGGUCAGAACCAAUCAGACGAGUAUAUGAAAUUUUGUUGACUGAUUGUUGUGUGGAAUGAGAUUUAAAAAUGAGCUAGAACCAACUUUAAUUUGCUUCACUAAAUUUGGAAUCCCAAUCAGUAGAUAUAUUAGAAAAAAGGAAAUGGGAAAGACCGACCUAUGGCCCAAACCAGACGACUAUAACUACCUUCCUCCUUCGCCUUCUUGUCUUAAUCCCUAAAAUCUGAAAAGAUAUCGCAAAGCGGCAGCCUAGGGUUAUAACAACAUCUCGAUGGACACGUACUCUUGCAAGGGAUCCGCCCCCAAGGAACCGUUCGAUAGUGAGCCUGCUGCUAAGGAAAAAUUCAAUUACAUCAGUUCCAGGGUUAGGAUAUCUGUUGAAGGAUUCAGCCAUGGCCGACCUACGGAUGAAAUCAAGAGUGAACUGAUUAAUCACUUCAAAUCAUGUGGCGACCUCAUUAGACCAUCU